rnacentral:rRNA from 1 species
UACGUAGGGCGCAAGCGUUGUCCGGAAUUAUUGGGCGUAAAGAGCUCGUAGGCGGCCAGUUGCGUCCGCUGUGAAAUCCUGGGGCUUAACCCCGGGCGUGCAGUGGAUACGGGCUGGCUAGAGGCAGGCAGGGGAGAACGGAAUUCCCGGUGUAGCGGUGAAAUGCGCAGAUAUCGGGAGGAACACCGGUGGCGAAGGCGGUUCUCUGGGCCUGUACUGACGCUGAGGAGCGAAAGCGAGGGGAGCGAACAGG